rnacentral:rRNA from 1 species
GAGUUUGAUCCUGGCUCAGGACGAACGCUGGCGGCGCGCCUAACACAUGCAAGUUGAACGAGCAAAGAGGAGCUUGCUUCUCUGAGCGAGUGGCGAACGGGUGAGUAACGCGUGGGUAACCUGCCUUAUACAGGGGGAUAACAGUCAGAAAUGACUGCUAAUACCGCAUAAGCGCACAGGACCGCAUGGUCCGGUGUGAAAAACUCCGGUGGUAUGGGAUGGGCCCGCGUCUGAUUAGGCAGUUGGCGGGGUAACGGCCCACCAAACCGACGAUCAGUAGCCGGCCUGAGAGGGCGACCGGCCACAUUGGGACUGAGACACGGCCCAAACUCCUACGGGAGGCAGCAGUGGGGAAUAUUGCACAAUGGGGGAAACCCUGAUGCAGCGACGCCGCGUGAGCGAAGAAGUAUUUCGGUAUGUAAAGCUCUAUCAGCAGGGAAGAUAAUGACGGUACCUGACUAAGAAGCCCCGGCUAACUACGUGCCAGCCGCCGCGGUAAUAC